CUGCAAAAGCAGGUAUGUCGGCUGUCCUGCAGCGCGUCGAGCGGCUGUCCAGUCGGGUGGUGCGCGUCCUGGGCUGUAACCCGGGACCCAUGACCCUGCAGGGCACCAACACCUACUUGGUAGAGAUCGGCACCAGGAGAAUCCUCAUUGACACUGGAGAACCAGCAAUUCCAGAAUAUAUCAGCUGUUUAAAGCAGGCUCUGACUGAAUUUAACGCAGCAAUCCAGGAAAUCAUGGUGACUCAUUGGCACCGUGAUCAUACUGGGGGCAUAGGAGAUAUUUUUAAAAGCAUCAGUAAUGACACUGCAUAUUGCAUUAAAAAACUCCCACGGAAUCCUCCAAGAGAAGAAAUUAUAGGAGAUGGAAAGCAACAAUAUGUUUAUCUGGAAGAUGGAGAUGUGAUUAAAACUGAAGGUGCCACUCUCAGAGUUAUACACACACCUGGCCACACUGAUGAUCAUAUCGCUCUACUUUUAGAAGAGGAGAAUGCGAUCUUUUCUGGAGAUUGCAUCCCAGGGGAAGGAACAACUAUAUUUGAAGACCUCUAUGAUUAUAUGAACUCCCUAAAAAAGCUACUGAAAGUCAAAGCUGAUAUUAUAUAUCCAGGACAUGGCCCAGUAAUUCAUAACGCUGAAGCUAAAAUUCUAGAAUACAUUUCUCACAGAAAUAUCCGAGAACAGCAAAUUCUUACAUUAUCCAAACUAGGAACCAGUGAAUGCUACGAACACUCGGCUGGAUAUAAGGAAGAAUUUCUAAAUGAUGCCCAAAGUGUAACAGGCUGUUUCCAAAAGACAGUGAAUGAACUGUUCAUCCCUGGGAAAGUUCAACAUGAAAGUGAUGAGAAUACCAAAUUUUCAUCUUUGAAGAAGAAAGCUCUCAAUUACUGGAAGACAUCCAAAUCUGGAGGGACAAAUACCGCUCUGGUAAAGACCGUAAGAAGAGCUGGAGGAGGAGAGGACAAAGAGAAACAUCUCCACUUGGAAGAAAAGUGCAUCAGUAUAAAAAUGUGGCAUGUCAACCAUAUCUCGUGCAAAGAUCUUCCGAAUGCGCAGGUUUUAUAUAACUUUCCUGCCAAUAGUAGCAACAUAAUCCAAACACAGAGCAAGUUCGAUUUUAUGAGCCGCUAA